UCUUCUCUUUUCACUAUCUCCAUCUCUCCCUCGAUGCACCAUUUCUUCCCCCAAGCACCACACACCUAGGCACCCUACUAAUGACUGGGUCACCACCACCGUGGCUCUCACUCUAGCGACCUCACUACCCUCGAGAUCUCUCCAUCAUGAACCCAGAGCUCCCUCAGCUUUCCAGCGACGGCCGUGAUCCUUGCAGGCAGUUCUCAGCCCUUUCCAGCCACCUAUGCUAUUUGGGUGAGGUGCAUUUGUUAGUGACGUUUCUAUCCACCCUUGUUUGCAUAGCUCUUCGCCAACGGUGUAAGGACUUAGAAUCGAGCCGUACAAUCAUGGCGUCAAAACACUCCUGCGUCGACAUCUUCGGGUCCUCUCAGUGUAGGACUCAUCUCUUUGGUCGUUCAAUUUUAUAUUAUUCCUUUUUAAUGUCUCAAAUUAGUUGUAUGCUUUGAACACGUUCCACAAUUGCAUAAUCAUUGUAUUUAAAUUUAUAAGUUUUAAUUAUGUUUGUUACUUCUCAUG